GUAUAUAAAUAUCACCAUAAUUAUACUAAGAACAUAUCCAUUUAGAUAGAAGGAUAAGUCUACAGAAUGAAUUGAGACAAGUUAGAAGCAUAAGACAAGCUUAGAAGCAAUUUGGACCCAAACUAAUUUGGAAUUUAGUUUGACUCAAAAGCUUUUGAAGUUUUCAAAAUCGAAUACUGCUAUACUUUCUAAGGGAAACCUGCUCUGAUACCAGCUGUGGCAGAACCUCCUGAAUUAAGUGGCCCACAUGCACACAUCAUUGUCCCAAAGACUUCUGAUCGGCGUGCACGAGUUCCAAAUGACUCAAGGAGUCUGUCGGGUGUCCUCGGGAAACCCGAAUCAUCCACGUAACAUUCCUUUCAGGAAUUUCCCUCAUCAAGCAUCACAGUAUUACAACAUUUCAUAGAUAAGAGAAAUCAGAGUAAAAGCGGAAAGGUUACAUAACAUAGAUUAAAACUUAAGUUCAAGGUUUACAAACCAUAAGUAUUUAAUACAUAAAAGCUUCGGAACUUUAUAUUACAUAAACCGUAGGUUCACACAACAACUUUUACUUGCCCAAGGUCACACAUCAGGUUCAUCCUCAUCACUCUCCUCCACAAGAGUAAAAUAACCAUGACCAUCAAAAGGAUAAUCAAGAGGUUCACCUGCAACAUGGGUUAAGAAACCCUGAGUACAAAAGUACUCAACAAGACUUAACCGACUAUAAAAGAGGUGAAGACUCAGGUAUGCAGGCUAUGGGGAUUCAAGGUAAAGCUUUAACAAGAUCAAGUAUUUCUUUUUGCAUAAAAGCUUACUACGAGUAAAGCCUACUUUCAAGUUUUAACUCAAGAUCAUUACUUAUAACUAGCCAAUAUCAUUAUCCAACUUUCAUAAGCAAAACACCUUUUUCUUAUACCAAAGAUUCACUUAUUACUACGAUGAUGGUGUGAGGAUUGAGGCUCCAUAUCCGAGGAAACACGGCGAUUCGAAUCGAUUAAACCCAGCUGGGGAUUCAGUACCACACGACAUAUGUAGAACUUAAUCUUGCAUAUGUCAACCUUUUCUAUAGAUCCUCCCAUACAAGAACGGGUCCAGCGUCACCCGAGAGUACAGUACACCACCAUCCUACAGCCAAUCUAGAUGUUUCCCGGUCAUCUCAGAUUCGUAAGGUGGGUACACGCUACUCUCGCCAUCUCUCCACUCCCAGUACGCGGUUAGCCGUUCUCAAGUAUCGGAAUAGCUAUAGGUAAGGCUUACCAGCGCAUGUGGGCUGUACUCAAAGGUCCCAAUCACAACAGGCCAACAACGGUACGGUCCUUAAUCG
rnacentral:lncRNA from 1 species